rnacentral:rRNA from 1 species
CAGUCGCCCGGGAAUACGGAGGGUGCAAGCGUUAAUCGGAAUUACUGGGCGUAAAGCGCACGCAGGCGGUCUGACAAGUCAGAUGUGAAAUCCCCGGGCUUAACCUGGGAACUGCAUUUGAAACUGUCAGGCUGGAGUCUUGUAGAGGGGGGUGGAAUUCCAGGUGUAGCGGUGAAAUGCGUAGAGAUCUGGAGGAAUACCGGUGGCGAAGGCGGCCCCCUGGACAAAGACUGACGCUCAGGUGCGAAAGCGUGGGGAGCAAACAGGAUUAGAUACCCGAGUAGUCCCUGUCUCUUAUACA